rnacentral:rRNA from 1 species
AAUCAACGCUGGCGGCGUGCCUCAGACAUGCAAGUCGAACGCGAAAGUCUCCUUCGGGGGACAAGUAGAGUGGCGCACGGGUGAGUAACACGUAGGUAAUCUACCUUCGGAGUGGGGAAGUAACAACCGGAAACGGUUAGCUAAUACCGCAUAAUGCAGCGGCACCUAAUGGUGACAGUUGUUAAAGACGGGGGAGUCGUAAGACCUCGCGUCUGAAGAGGAGCCUGCGGCGGAUUAGCAGUUGGUAAGGUAAU